rfam:Anopheles maculatus strain maculatus3 cont1.7669, whole genome shotgun sequence.
AGCAAUAAUGCACUGGUAAGGCAUGGAUCCGAAGCCUCUUGAAGGUCAACAAAGGCUCUCCAUACCCUACUUCGACUCAAUACGUCCCCGGCGUAUAGAACGG